rnacentral:ncRNA from 1 species
CAUAAAGUGUAGAGUUUGAUUCCUAUUAGAACAAUUUCUUUGGGGCGUAUGCCUCCCAAAAGGUAGUUGGUAAUAACGAAGGCCAACAAAGGUUUCUCGAGCCAAAUGGAGUUGGCCUCGAGUGCAAUAGUAAAAGAGAGCUUGAAUUGCAAGACCUCCUUGUUGAGCAAGGACAAAAGUUGGCCAUAAUGAUUCACCAAUUUGUCGAGUGGAUGGACCAUUAUAUUGUCCAAUGGAUAAAAGUUACUCUAGAUAUAAGAGACUAAUAUUUCUCAAUAACUCAUCUCGACGAGAAAGUUUAGCGCCUCGAUAUUAACAUGGCAAUAA